rnacentral:rRNA from 1 species
CCUACGGGAGGCAGCAGUGAGGAAUAUUGGUCAAUGGACGAGAGUCUGAACCAGCCAAGUAGCGUGAAGGAUGACUGCCCUAUGGGUUGUAAACUUCUUUUAUAUGGGAAUAAAAUGUUCCACGUGUGGGAUUUUGUAUGUACCAUAUGAAUAAGGAUCGGCUAACUCCGUGCCAGCAGCCGCUGUAAUACGGAGGAUCCGAGCGUUAUCCGGAUUUAUUGGGUUUAAAGGGAGCGUAGGUGGAUUGUUAAGUCAGUUGUGAAAGUUUGCGGCUCAACCGUAAAAUUGCAGUUGAAACUGGCAGUCUUGAGGACAGUAGAGGUGGGCGGAAUUCGUGGUGUAGCGGUGAAAUGCUUAGAUAUCACGAAGAACUCCGAUUGCGAAGGCAGUUCACUGGACUGCAACUGACACUGAGGCUCGAAAGUGUGGGUAUCAAACAGGAUUAGAUACCCCUGUAGUC